rnacentral:lncRNA from 1 species
UGGCUCUCAAAAUACACAUCUUCUUCCUUCUAAUCUCUAUAUUGUUAUACACAAUUAUUCCGAUCCUAAGGCGAUAAAAUUCGCAAAAUUAGCCAUUAAUGAAUAUAAUAAGAGGACUAAGGCCAAUGUGUCUUUUGAAAAAGUUAUUAAGGCUGCUGCUGCAACAACAAAUAAUACGAUAAUUUCUUCUGAGAUAUAUGUUACUCUUGUUAUUGAGGGAAAUAGAAAUAUUAAAUUUUAUGCUUAUAUUUGGCAAAAGGGAAGUUCUAC